UACGGAGGGUGCGAGCGUUGUCCGGAAUCACUGGGCGUAAAGGGCGCGUAGGUGGCCUGUGGAAGUCUGCGGUGAAAGCCCGGCGCUCAACGCCGGGUCGGCCGUGGAUACUCUCGGGCUCGAGCUUACUAGAGGCAGAUGGAAUUCCGGGUGUAGCGGUGGAAUGCGUAGAGAUCAGGAGGAACACCGGUGGCGAAGGCGGAUCUCUGGGCCAUUACUGACGCUGAGGAGCGAAAGCGUGGGGAGCGAACAGG
rnacentral:rRNA from 1 species